CGACAAAAAUAAUUAGUCCUUCAUACAUUACAAAAUUCUCAACGAUUUCAUCCCUAAUUUUACUAUGCAAUAUUUCCAUAUUAGUAGAAGAUUUGUCUUGUAUUUUUGAAGGUAUACCAGAAGGUCCAUCUCCUUCUUCAUAUAUUUAAACGACAUGGUAACAAAUAUUUUACUUUUCAUAAAUUAUUUAUUUAAAAUUAAAUAUUCGAGAAAAAAUUUACAAGUGUUGUCAAAAUAUCAUUUAUUCUUGUAACGUGAUCCAUAUGCCAUUUGUUAUCAUUAAUAAUAAACUGCUUUACUUUUUCUUACCAGCAGAAAUUUUCUGCUUCUUUUUCAAAAACACUUUCGCAAAUUGACCAAACGUUCUUCUUUUUUACAAAAAAAAAGUAUUUUUUUUUUUUGAAAAUAAGUAUUUUUUAUUCUUUUUUGAAAAUAAGCAAUGCCAAACAUGCACUAAAUUUACAUAUGAAGUUAAGAGGGUUCGCGUACCAAUGAAUUGAUUAUUUAUGGAAUGAAAGAUGCUAAAAUUGUGUAGGUCGCUUGGUUGUGAGUUCUCUUCCCAUCACCAACUAUAUGUGAUUUUUAUUUUACUCAAAGAAUUCACAAAAUUUAAAUUUUAGAUUCAUCUCUACACUAGAGUUAAAAUGAACAAGUAGAGAGAAAAAGCAAUGAUCGGAGAACAAAUAAAAUGUGUAUUGUAUUUAUUAGGAUUUGAUUCAAGAUGAUUUAUAAGUGAAGCUAAAUCUCUCUUUAUAGGAUAGAGUGGGUGGCUAGUAAUUACUCUCUAUAAAGGGUUACCUCAUGGUAUUAUAACUAAUAAUGUUCCACCAAGUUGUCCUAUCUGUUGCAAAUCUCAGUCAAUAUUUUCUACAAAGGCUAGUAUAACACGCUUCUGCACUCCUAAGAGAUUUUGAUGGCUUUGCCCACUAUCUUUUUCUUCCAUCUUCAUUCUCAUCCUUUGAACAGAGGCGUUUCCGUUAUGAUAUUUCUCUUGAGAUGUUCUUAGAUGGAGGUUCCAUCAGUGGUGCAUAUUCAUGGCUUGUCAUGUAGCACUCACUCGUGAUGUUAGGAUUUGUCUUGAAUUUUCUAUUUUACUUGAACUCUAUCAUAUAGUGUAUUUUAAUUUGAAAAAGUUUUUUUAGUGGAAAAGGUUUUCUUGUAGAAAACAAUCAAUUCUAUAAUUGAUCAAUUCUUUCUUGUGGAGAAGUUUUGGACUUGUAGGAAAUAAUUUCUUCCAUAAUUGGUUAAUUCUUUCUUUUAAAGAGGUUUUGGACUUAGAA
rnacentral:lncRNA from 1 species